UUAUACCGUGAAACUGCGAAUGGCUCAUUAAAUCAGUUAUCGUUUAUUUGAUAGUACCUUACUACUUGGAUACCUGUGGUAAUUCUAGAGCUAAUACAUGCUAAAAACCCCGACUUCGGAAGGGGUGUAUUUAUUAGAUAAAAAACCAAUGCCCUUCGGGGCUCCUUGGUGAUUCAUAAUAACUUCUCAGAUCGCAUGGCCUUGCGCCGGCGACGGUUCAUUCAAAUUUCUGCCCUAUCAACUUUCGAUGGUAAGGUAUUGGCUUACCAUGGUGGCAACGGGUAACGGGGAAUUAGGGUUCGAUUCCGGAGAGUUAGCCUGAGAAACGGCUAACACAUCCAAGGAAGGCAGCAGGCGCGCAAAUUACCCAAUCCCGACACGGGGAGGUAGUGACAAUAAAUACUGAUACAGGGCUCUUUUGGGUCUUGUAAUUGGAAUGAGUACAAUUUAAACCUCUUAACGAGGAACAAUUGGAGGGCAAGUCUGGUGCCAGCAGCCGCGGUAAUUCCAGCUCCAAUAGCGUAUAUUAAAGUUGUUGCAGUUAAAAAGCUCGUAGUUGAACCUUUGGCCUGGCUGGCAGGUCCGCCUCACCGCGUGCACUUGUCCGGCCGGGCCUUUUCUUCUGGAGAACCGCAUGCCCUUCACUGGGUGUGUUGGGGACCAGGACUUUUACUUUGAAAAAAUUAGAGUGUUCAAAGCAGGCCUUUGCUCGAAUAUUACAGCAUGGAAUAAUAGAAUAGGACGUGCGGUUCUAUUUUGUUGGUUUCUAGGACCGCCGUAAUGAUUAAUAGGGACAGUCGGGGGCAUCAGUAUUCAAUUGUCAGAGGUGAAAUUCUUGGAUUUAUUGAAGACUAACUACUGCGAAAGCAUUUGCCAAGGAUGUUUUCAUUAAUCAGUGAACGAAAGUUAGGGGAUCGAAGACGAUCAGAUACCGUCGUAGUCUUAACCAUAAACUAUGCCGACUAGGGAUCGGGCGGUGUUACUAUUUUGACUCGCUCGGCACCUUACGAGAAAUCAAAGUG
rnacentral:rRNA from 1 species